CCUACGGGCGGCAGCAGUGAGGAAUAGUGGUCAAGGGACGAGAGUCUGAACCAGCCAAGUAGCGUGAAGGAUGACUGCCCUAUGGGUUGUAAACUUCGUGUAUAUGGGAAUAAAAUGUACCACGUGGGGGAUGUUGUAUGUACCAUAUGAAUAAGGAUCGGCUAACGCCGUGCCAGCAGCCGCGGUAAUACGGAGGAUCCGAGCGUUAUCCGGAUUUAUUGGGUUUAAAGGGAGCGUAGGGGGAUUGUGAAGUCAGUUGUGAAAGUUUGCGGCUCAACCGGAAAAUUGCAGUUGACACUUGCAGUCUUUAGUACAGUAGUGGUGGGCGGUAUUCGUUGUGUAGCGG
rnacentral:rRNA from 1 species